rnacentral:piRNA from 1 species
UCCUAUACAUACAGCACGUUUAUUAGAUGGC